rnacentral:rRNA from 1 species
GACGAACGCUGGCGGCGUGCUUAACACAUGCAAGUCGAACGAUGAACCCGGAGCUUGCUCCGGUGUAUUAGUGGCGAACGGGUGAGUAACACGUGAGUAACCUGCCCUUGACUCUGGGAUAACUGCGUGAAACUGUAGCUAAUACCGGAUACGACCCUCGGAGGCAUCUCCUGGGGGAGUAAAGAAUUUCGGUCAAGGAUGGACUCCCGGCCCAUCAGCUAGUUGGUGAGGUAAAGGCUCACCAAGGGGACGACGGGUAGCCGGCCUGUGAGGGUGACCGGCCACACUGGGACUGAGACACGGCCCAGACUGCUACGGGAGGCAGCAGUGGGGAAUAUUGCACAAUGGGCGCAAGCCUGAUGCAGCAACGCCGCGUGAGGGAUGACGGCCUUCGGGUUGUAAACCUCUUUUAGCAGGGAAGAAGCGAAAGUGACGGUACCUGCAGAAAAAGCACCGGCUAACUACGUGCCAGCAGCCGCCGUAA